AGUCGCCGCGGUAAUACAGAGGGUGCGAGCGUUAAUCGGAUUUACUGGGCGUAAAGCGUGCGUAGGCGGCUUUUUAAGUCGGAUGUGAAAUCCCUGAGCUUAACUUAGGAAUUGCAUUCGAUACUGGGAAGCUAGAGUAUGGGAGAGGAUGGUAGAAUUCCAGGUGUAGCGGUGAAAUGCGUAGAGAUCUGGAGGAAUACCGAUGGCGAAGGCAGCCAUCUGGCCUAAUACUGACGCUGAGGUACGAAAGCAUGGGGAGCAAACAGGAUUAGAUACCCCGGUAGUCCCUGUCUCUUAUACA
rnacentral:rRNA from 1 species